rnacentral:rRNA from 1 species
UGGGGAAUUUUGGACAAUGGGCGAAAGCCUGAUCCAGCAAUGCCGCGUGUGUGAAGAAGGCCUUCGGGUUGUAAAGCACUUUUGUCCGGAAAGAAAUCCUUGGCUCUAAUACAGUCGGGGGAUGACGGUACCGGAAGAAUAAGCACCGGCUAACUACGUGCCAGCAGCCGCGGUAAUACGUAGGGUGCAAGCGUUAAUCGGAAUUACUGGGCGUAAAGCGUGCGCAGGCGGUUUGCUAAGACCGAUGUGAAAUCCCCGGGCUCAACCUGGGAACUGCAUUGGUGACUGGCAGGCUAGAGUAUGGCAGAGGGGGGUAGAAUUCCACGUGUAGCAGUGAAAUGCGUAGAGAUGUGGAGGAAUACCGAUGGCGAAGGCAGCCCCCUGGGCCAAUACUGACGCUCAUGCACGAAAGCGUGGGGAGCAAACAGGAUUAGAUACCCUGGUAGUCCACGCCCUAAACGAUGUCAACUAGUUGUGGGGAUUCAUUUCCUAGUAACGUAGCUAACGCGUGAAGUUGACCGCCUGGGGGAGUACGGUCGCAAGAUUAAAACUCAAAUGAAUUGACGGGGU